rnacentral:rRNA from 1 species
AGAGUUUGGGAGAGGGAAGUAGAAUUUCAGGUGUAGCGGUGAAAUGCAUAGAGAUCUGAAGGAAUACCAGUGNGCGAAGGNGACUUCCUGNCCUAAAACUGACGCUGAGGUGCGAAAGCGUGNGGUAGCAAACGGGAUUAGAUACCCCGGUAGUCCACGCCGUAAACGAUGUCAACUAGUCGUUGGUCCCCUUGAGGGAUCAGUGACGCAGCUAACGCAUUAAGUUGACCGCCUGGGGAGUACGGUCGCAAGACUAAAACUCGAAGGAAUUGACGGGGGCCCGCACAAGCGGUGGAGCAUGUGGUUUAAUUCGAUGCAACGCGAAGAACCUUACCAUCCCUUGACAUCCUCAGAACUUGUAAGAAAUUACUUGGUGCCUUCGGGAACUGAGUGACAGGUGCUGCACGGCUGUCGUCAGCUCGUGUCGUGAGAUGUUGGGUUAAGUCCCGCAACGAGCGCANCCCCUNUCCUUGGUUGCUAGCAGAUAAUGCUGAGAACUCCAAGGAGACUGCCGGUGACAAACCGGAGGAAGGUGGGGAUGACGUCAAGUCAUCAUGGCCCUUAUGGGAUGGGCUACACACGUGCUACAAUGGUUGGUACAGAGGGUUGCGAACUCGCGAGAGCAAGCCAAUCCCAGAAAGCCGAUCGUAGUCCGGAUUGGAGUCUGCAACUCGACUCCAUGAAGUUGGAAUCGCUAGUAAUCGCGGAUCAGAAUGCCGCGGUGAAUACGUUCCCGGGCCUUGUACACACCNNNNGNCACACCAUGGGAGUGGGCUGCAAAAGAAGUAGGUAGGCUAACCUUCGGGAAGCCGCUUACCACUUUGUGGNNNNNNANUGGGGUGAAGUCGUAACAAGGUAAC